rnacentral:rRNA from 1 species
UGUGCUGGUGUAAGCCCGUAGGGAGGGACAUAGGCAAAUCCGUGUCCCACAUAUCCUGAGAGGUGAUGCGUAGCCGUAGCGGCGAAAUCCAUGAUCCUAUGCUGCCGAGAAAAGCCUCUAGCGAGCUGGUACAUGGCCCGUACCCCAAACCGACACAGGUGGUCAGGUAGAGAAUACUAAGGCGAUCGAGAGAACUGUGGUUAAGGAACUCGGCAAAAUGCCCCCGUAACUUCGGGAGAAGGGGGACCAGUCCUGGUGACGACAUUUACUGUCUGAGCUGGGGUUGGUCGCAGAGACCAGAGAGAAGCGACUGUUUACUAAAAACACAGGUCCGUGCGAAGUCGUAAGACGAUGUAUACGGACUGACGCCUGCCCGGUGCUGGAAGGUUAAGAGGACCGGUCAGCCACUUCGGUGGCGAAGCUGAGAAUUUAAGCCCCAGUAAACGGCGGUGGUAACUAUAACCAUCCUAAGGUAGCGAAAUUCCUUGUCGGGUAAGUUCCGACCUGCACGAAUGGCGUAACGACUUCUCUGCUGUCUCAACCACAGACUCGGCGAAAUUGCAGUACGAGUAAAGAUGCUCGUUACGCGCGGCAGGACGAAAAGACCCCGGGACCUUCACUAUAGCUUGGUAUUGGUGUUCGGUUCGGUUUGUGUAGGAUAGGUGGGAGACUGUGAAACUCGCACGCCAGUGUGGGUGGAGUCAUUGUUGAAAUACCACUCUGACCGUAUUGGACAUCUAACCUCGGACCAUGAUCUGGUUCAGGGACAGUGCCUGGUGGGUAGUUUAACUGGGGCGGUUGCCUCCUAAAAAGUAACGGAGGCGCCCAAAGGUUCCCUCAGCCUGGUUGGCAAUCAGGUGUUGAGUGUAAGUGCACAAGGGAGCUUGACUGUGAGACGUACAUGUCGAGCAGGGACGAAAGUCGGGACUAGUGAUCCGGCACCGGCAAGUGGAAGCGGUAUCGCUCAACGGAUAAAAGGUACCCCGGGGAUAACAGGCUGAUCUUCCCCAAGAGUCCAUAUCGACGGGAUGGUUUGGCACCUCGAUGUCGGCUCGUCGCAUCCUGGGGCUGGAGUAGGUCCCAAGGGUUGGGCUGUUCGCCCAUUAAAGCGGCACGCGAGCUGGGUUUAGAACGUCGUGAGACAGUUCGGUCUCUAUCCGCCGCGCGCGUAAGAAACUUGAGGAAACCUGUCCCUAGUACGAGAGGACCGGGACGGACGAACCUCUGGUGUGCCAGUUGUUCCACCAGGAGCACCGCUGGUUAGCUACGUUCGGAAGGGAUAACCGCUGAAAGCAUCUAAGCGGGAAGCCUGUUCCAAGAUGAGGUUUCUCACCACCUAGCGUGGUUAAGGCCCCCCACAGACCAUGGGGUUGAUAGGCCAGAACUGUA